AGCCCCGUAGUGUAGUGGCCAAAUCUUUGAGGCCAGUCAUGUCAGGCUCUGGACCUGGCGACCACGGUUCGAAUCCGUGCGGGGCUA
rnacentral:tRNA from 1 species